GUGAGAAAACCUGGCUUUUUGGCAUAUCUGUGCCUAACCGCGUGAGUUGGGACAAGCCUCAACAUCUGACCAUGGUGUCUUCUGUUCUAAUACAAGACUGAUAGUGGCCUGGAUGGGUUCAGGUCCAGCCUCUUUUCUUCCUUAACCCCCUUCCCCCAGCUCUGUUCCUUGAGGAGGGAGGGAGGAGUGAAUCUGUGGCUGCUUAGGGGGCCAGGUGAUGAGUUAUGCAAUCUCACCCUCAGGAGAAGUACGGCCUUUUUUCGCCAGCUUCUCGAAGCCAGUAACUCAACACGAGUCCUGGCCUACUGCUCUCUUCCAGAGUGAAAUAAGCCUGACCUGAGCUAGACGCAGACCGGAAGCCCUCCCCUUGCCUCUUCUUCACUUAUCUUUCUGUCGGUACUUUGGUCACCUUUUCCGUGGACUCAGAGCACAAGAACAGAGGGCAGAGACGGAAGUGUGGCUUGAUGCUGCAACCUUUGACCCUGGCAGGCUCUCCAGGGCUGGCCUCACCAGGGAUUCUAUCAAUUGGGCUGCCUGAUCUUGAACUUGAACCUCCAGAACCUGUUGCAUUCUGGACGUGACAAUGUUGAGUGUAGCACACUGUUCGGCCUGCAGCAGGAGAGACUGUCACAAGCUCUCCAGGCAAAUCUGAGGCAGCCCUCAGAGCCCAGCUGGAGUCACACUGUCCUGAAUCCUGAUUCUCCAUCCUCCCACCCAGGGAAGAGCAGUGAACCCACUGGCGGUCACCUUCUCCUGACUCUACAGCACGCCACUGUUGGACCGAAGACGUAAGGGACACAGGAGCUUCACAAAAGCCAGCGAACAGCUCGGUUUCCUAUGCUGUCACCACCCUGAGCUCUGACUGUACCAAGCAUAGUUUCAAGAUGGCGUGUGCUGCUGCAUUUCUCCAGCUGAGGGUUAUAUCCUGUGGUAAUGACAUUUUCAAGUUUGGAAACUCCAACCCGAACUCUGCAGUUGUCCUGAGGAGCAUUGCCUUGAGAGGACCCUUUACAACCGAAAUGAUACUUCUUUUCUUUCUUUCUUUGUUUUCUUUUUUGAUACAGGGUUUCUUUAUGUAGCUCUGGCUGUCCUGGAACUUGCUCUGUAGUGAAUGAGAAGGAGGAUAUGACUGCUUCAAGGUAAGGUUGAGGAGAUAUUACACUAUGAGGGAACAGUCUGAGGCGUCUGAAAAGGUCCGGACUGAAUCUGGCCGUGAGAGGAGAGAAGGAUGGGGAACGCAGGAGAGGGAGAGAAGAAAGAGGAGCAAAAGAGAAGGAGGACGAAGACCAAGAGAAGAAAGAGCCGAGGACCAAAAGGCCAAGCGAGUGCAUGGCCGGAAUGAUCGUUAUAGAGGAAAGCGAAGCUGGGGAAGGAAGCGAAGCCCUGCCCCUGGGUUGGAGAGGUUUAGGGUGGGGGCGGAGUGAGAAGUACUAAGACUGAAACUUGUCCUGAGUUUCUUUGGGACCUGAUAUGUGGACCAAGCUGGCCUCGAACUCACAGAGAUCCCCUUGCCUCUGCCUCCCAUGUACUGGAAUCAAAGGCGUGCUCCACUCUACUUGGCUGCAUUGUAUCUUGAUAUAGUGGGCACUUCUCCAAAAUGUGUUCUUGGAACAAGGGCAAUGCAUAGCAUUUUAGAGUGCAUGCUGCUCUUCCUGAGGACCUGGGUUGAGUUCCCAGUACCUGCAUCAGGCUACUUACAACCACCUGUAAAGCUAGGUUUGGGGAUCAGACAUGCUCUUUUGGCCUCCGUGGGCACCUGCAUGCUCACAGUGCAUGCACAAAC